CAGUCGCCGCGGGAAUACGUAGGUGGCAAGCGUUGUCCGGAAUUAUUGGGCGUAAAGGGCUCGCAGGCGGUUGUGUAAGACAGGUGUGAAAUCCCCGGGCUUAACCUGGGAACUGCGCUUGUGACUGCACAGCUAGAGUAUGGCAGAGGGGGGUGGAAUUCCACGUGUAGCAGUGAAAUGCGUAGAGAUGUGGAGGAACACCGAUGGCGAAGGCAGCCCCCUGGGCCAAUACUGACGCUCAUGCACGAAAGCGUGGGGAGCAAACAGGAUUAGAUACCCCCGUAGUCCCUGUCUCUUAUAC
rnacentral:rRNA from 1 species